rnacentral:pre_miRNA from 1 species
AUGGUACUUCCUCCAUCCGGAAAUAUUUGUCAUCAAAAUGAAUAAAAGGGAUGUAUUUAGAUGUAUUUUAGUUUUAGAUACAUUCAUUUUUGUCUAUUUUAAUGACAAGUAUUUUUGGACGGAGGGAGUACUUC